rnacentral:rRNA from 1 species
UAAGGAAUAUUGCUCAAUGGGAGAAAUCCUGAAGCAGCAACGCCGCGUGGAGGAUGAAGGGUCUAUGACUUGUAAACUCCUGUAAAGAGGGAAAAAAUUCCCAUUAGAUGGGAGAUGAUGGUACUUCUGGAGUAAGCCCCGGCUAACUCCGUGCCAGCAGCCGCGGUAAUACGGAGGGUGCAAGCGUUAUCCGGAAUCAUUGGGUUUAAAGGGUCCGCAGGCGGAUAUAUAAGUCAGUGGUGAAAUCCUGCAGCUUAACUGCAGAACUGCCAUUGAUACUGUAUAUCUUGAAUUGAGUGGGAGUGGGCGGAAUAUGACAUGUAGCGGUGAAAUGCAUAGAUAUGUCAUAGAACACCGAAAGCGAAGGCAGCUCACUAUACUUAAAUUGACGCUCAUGGACGAAAGCGUGGGGAGCAAACA